rnacentral:tRNA from 1 species
ACCUGGCUGGUUCAGCUGAUAGAGCAUGAGACUCUUGAUCUCGAGGUUGUGAGUUCAAGCCCCAUGUUAAGUG